UCCACAACAAUCCUCAUCCUGUCAUCCGGCCACCACCUCCGCAGUCGGCAGUUCCUCCCAGUCGGCGCUCCACCACCACCGCCGCGUGCCAGGCCGCACUGCUGGACCUCUCUGCCUUCGACGACGCGCAGCGUGGGGCAUCACGGCUGUCCGCAGCCUCUUCCUCCAAGAAGCUCCACGGCCGACGACGCCCGUCGCAGCUCGCCACCAUUCCACCAAGGAUUGACGAGCGAGGCCCGACGGCUCCUACCACCCAAAGCUGCAAGCUUCAUCUCCGGUGAGAUAACUUGUCGCUUACUUUGGACGGUGCAGCAAUUGAGGGCGAUAGCAGAGAGGGAGAGGGAGAGAUGGAUGGGCUGACGGGCAGCGAGAUCGCUGGCUUCGUGGUGGGUGGCCUGCUGCUCGGCGCCACCAUCGCUGCGCCCAAGGUCGACGGAUUCAUUGCCUCCUCCCAAAGAAGGUCACUAGGUAUGUGUAAGAGGUGUGGUGAUCUUCGGAUAGUAGCAUGCUCACAGUGCAAAGGAAUGGGUUCAGUUCGGAAAGGAGGGCUACUUAAUUUGGGCAUGCUAGAUGAUCUCUACGAAUCACUCGGAGCUGAAGCCAAGACUGAGAAUUUGAUUCCUUGCACUAAGUGCAGAUCCAAGGGCCGUCUCUUGUGCCCAGAGUGCUCGAAGGUCAUAUGACCCUUAAAUAAUAAUGGUGCAAGGAAAUAUAAGGUUCUCAGUUAAGCUUAUAAAUUUUGCUGCUUUAAUGUGUCAACAAAUUGGUGAUGCAACAGUCGAAUGCAGUCUGGUUUUUCUUCUUCAUGAUUGCAUCUUGAUGUUAAGUUGUAAACUGCAAGUUUUAAUAUGUCUCAGUUGCUAUUACAACUUGGUAGAGAAUGAAAGCACAUAUUUUUUUUAUUAUCAACAUAUCAUGCAAAAUCGUUAUGCUCAGCAAAGCAUGUUAAUGUCUUGCAUUGAGAUAGUGGGUACAACAGUUACGGUGAUUCGUUAAAUGUACAAACUGAAGUCUGAUGUACAAACAGUUAAUACUUUGCCUGGAAUUCCAUAUAUUGUAUUCAAAGAA